UUACAGCCAUAUCAUGUUGAAACACUGGUUCCUGUAUGAUCACCGAAGUUAAGCAAUGUUGAUCUUGGCCAGUACCUAGACGGGUGACCACUUGGGAAUACCAGGUGCUGUAAG